rnacentral:rRNA from 1 species
CGUAUAUUUAAGUUGUUGCAGUUAAAAAGCUCGUAGUUGGAUUUUGGUUAAGAGGGCGCGGUCGGCCGUUUGGUCUGUACUGCGUUGUCUUGACUUCCUGAUGAGGACAUGCUCUUGGUUAACGCUGAGACAUGGAGUCAUCGUGGUUACUUUGAAAAAAUUAGAGUGUUCAAAGCGGGCUUACGCUUGAAUAUAUUAGCAUGGAAUAACACUAUAGGACUCCUGUCCUAUCUCGUUGGUCUCGGGAUGGGAGUAAUGAUUAAGAGGAACAGUUGGGGGCAUUCGUAUUUCAUUGUCAGAGGUGAAAUUCUUGGAUUUAUGAAAGACGAACUUCUGCGAAAGCAUUUGCCAAGGAUGUUUUCAUUAAUCAAGAACGAAAGUUGGGGGCUCGAAGAUGAUUAGAUACCAUCCUAGUCUCAACCAUAAACGAUGCCGACUAGGGAUUGGUGGAUGUUAAUUGAUGACUUCACCAGCACCUUAUGAGAAAUCAAAGUUUUUGGGUUCCGGGGGGAGUAUGGUCGCAAGGCUGAAACUUAAAGGAAUUGA